UGGCGGACGGGUGAGUAAUGUCUGGGAAACUGCCCGAUGGAGAGGGAUAACUACUGGAAACGGUAGCUAAUACCGCAUAACGUCGCAAGACCAAAGAGGGGGACCUUCGGGCCUCGCGCCAUCAGAUGAACCCAUAUGGGAUUAGCUUGUAGGUAAGGUAACGGCUUACCUAGGCGACGAUCCCUAGCUGGUCUGAGAGGAUGACCAGCCACACCGGAACUGAGACGCGGUCCAG
rnacentral:rRNA from 1 species